rnacentral:rRNA from 1 species
AUUCCGGUUGAUCCUGCCGGACCCGACUGCUAUUUGGGUGAGGAUAAGCCAUGCGAGUUGAAUGGGAAACCUAAAGUUCCCAUGGCAAACUGCUCAGUAACACAUGAUCAACUUACCCUAUAGAGAAAAAUAACCUCGGGAAACUGAGGAUAAUGUUUCAUAGUUGAAUUGGCUUGGAAAAGUUUUUCGACGAAAGGGGUAAAAAAAAUGGUUUUUAUCUGCUAUAGGAUAGGAUCGUGUUCGAUUAUGGUUGUUGGUGAGGUAAUGGCUCACCAAGCCGAUAAUCGAUAGGGGCCGUGAGAGCGGGAGCCCCGAGAUGGGUACUGAGACAACGACCCAGGCCUUACGAGGCGCAGCAGGCGCGAAACCUCCGCAAUACACGAAAGUGUGACGGGGUUACCCAAAGUGUUCAAUUUUGAACUGUGGUAGGUGAGUAAUGUUCCCUACUAGAAAGGAGAGGGCAAGGCUGGUGCCAGCCGCCGCGGUAAAACCAGCUCUUCAAGUGGUCGGGAUAAUUAUUGGGCUUAAAGUGUCCGUAGCCGGUUUGGUAAGUUCCUGGUAAAAUCGGGUAGCUUAACUAUCUAUAUGCUAGGAAUACUACUAUACUAGAGGGCGGGAGAGGUCUGAGGUACUACAGGGGUAGGGGUGAAAUCUUAUAAUCCUUGUUGGACCACCAGUGGCGAAGGCGUCAGACUGGAACGCGCCUGACGGUGAGGGACGAAAGCCAGGGGAGCGAACCGGAUUAGAUACCCGGGUAGUCCUGGCCGUAAACGAUGCAUACUAGGUGAUGGCACGGCCAUGAGCCGUGUCAGUGCCGUAGGGAAACCGUUAAGUGUGCCGCCUGGGAAGUACGGUCGCAAGGCUAAAACUUAAAGGAAUUGGCGGGGGAGCACCACAAGGGGUGAAGCCUGCGGUUCAAUUGGACCCAACGCCGGAAAACUUACCAGGGGAGACAGCAGUAUGACGGUCAGGUUGACGACCUUACCUAACGAGCUGAGAGGAGGUGCAUGGCCGUCGCCAGUUCGUGCCGUGAGGUAUCCUGUUAAGUCAGGCAACGAACGAGAUCCGCACCUUUAUUUGCCACCAAGAAGUCACGACUUCGUUGGGAACACUAAAGGGACCGCCGUCGAUAAGACGGAGGAAGGAGCGGGCAAAGGCAGGUCAGUAUGCCCCGAAACCCCUGGGCUACACGCGGGCUGCAAUGGUAU